rnacentral:rRNA from 1 species
AAACGACUCUCGGCAACGGAUAUCUCGGCUCUCGCAUCGAUGAAGAACGUAGCGAAAUGCGAUACUUGGUGUGAAUUGCAGAAUCCCGUGAACCAUCGAGUCUUUGAACGCAAGUUGCGCCCGAAGCCUUUAGGACGAGGGCACGCCUGCCUGGGCGUCACG